AUCCUAUUAAUUCAGUUGACUUUCUCUCUUGAAAUCUAGCCAAACACAGAAACAAGCACACUGCCGUAUUUGUACCGGCAAGAUCUCUUUUCACACCAUCUAGUCCGAAACAGAAAGCUGUUGUAUUCUCUGAUGAACUUCAAGGCAACGAAAAUGCAGCAGGAUAUAUGCAAGAUUCCUUGGGUACUUUGCACAAGAUAUUCAUGACACGCAAGCAGAGCCAUAUUAACAUAGAUAUAUUAAUCCUACUUGUUGCCUCUCACAACUGCACGAGAUGAUAGUUGCCAUGAAGAGCAUUGAUUGCAAGAAAUUGAAUAAGAAACUUUUAUAUAUGUUGUUGAUGUAAAUUGGAUUGUGCUGGUCCUAAACUUGCUAUGUGUUGUAUUUUGUCAAUUCGUGUUGUAAAUUAUCAUUUCAUGGA